rnacentral:rRNA from 1 species
AUUGAACGCUGGCGGCAUGCCUUACACAUGCAAGUCGAACGGCAGCACGGGAGCAAUCCUGGUGGCGAGUGGCGAACGGGUGAGUAAUAUAUCGGAACGUGCCCAGUCGUGGGGGAUAACGCAGCGAAAGCUGUGCUAAUACCGCAUACGAGCUAAGGAUGAAAGCGGGGGAUCGCAAGACCUCGCGCGAUUGGAGCGGCCGAUAUCAGAUUAGCUCGUUGGUGGGGUAAAGGCCCACCAAGGCGACGAUCUGUAGCUGGUCUGAGAGGACGACCAGCCACACUGGAACUGAGACACGGUCCAGACUCCUACGGGAGGCAGCAGUGGGGAAUUUUGGACAAUGGGCGCAAGCCUGAUCCAGCAAUGCCGCGUGCAGGAUGAAGGCCUUCGGGUUGUAAACUGCUUUUGUACGGAACGAAACGGCCCUUUCUAAUACAGGGGGCUAAUGACGGUACCGUAAGAAUAAGCACCGGCUAACUACGUGCCAGCCGCCGCCGUAA